CCACCACCACCACCAGCAGCAGCAGCAGCAGCAGCAGCAGAGGAGGGUGCUGCAAGAGAGAUGUCCGUGGACAGCCUGAGCCUUGUCGCUGUGCACUCAGGCAUGUCAGAUAUACAGGAAUUUGUUUUGCCCCAUGCGGAGCCAGCAUUCUGCUCGCUAGAGGUUGAGCAUGAGAAGUAGACUGUCUUCUCAAGCAUGGUAGCCAGGAGUGUGCCAAUUUUGGCCCCAAGGAACACCUGUUCUGCACACUCCACAAUACGGCCCUCAGGGCCAGCACUACUCAGACCUGUAGGCUGGGAAGAAGCUGGAUUUAGUCCAGAGCAGA